GGAGUAUCGACCCUCUCUGUGCCGAAGCUAACGCUUUAAGUACCCCGCCUGGGGAGUACGGUCGCAAGACUAAAACUCAAAGGAAUUGACGGGGGCCCGCACAAGCAGCGGAGCGUGUGGUUUAAUUCGAUGCUACACGAAGAACCUCACCAGGGCUUGACAUGUUAGAAGUAGUNNUCCGAAAGGGGAACG
rnacentral:rRNA from 1 species